rnacentral:rRNA from 1 species
GGGGAAUAUUGCACAAUGGGCGCAAGCCUGAUGCAGCGACGCCGCGUGAGGGAUGGAGGCCUUCGGGUUGUAAACCUCUUUUAUCGGGGAGCAAGCGAGAGUGAGUUUACCCGUUGAAUAAGCACCGGCUAACUACGUGCCAGCAGCCGCGGUAAUACGUAGGGUGCAAGCGUUAUCCGGAAUUAUUGGGCGUAAAGGGCUCGUAGGCGGUUCGUCGCGUCCGGUGUGAAAGUCCAUCGCUUAACGGUGGAUCCGCGCCGGGUACGGGCGGGCUUGAGUGCGGUAGGGGAGACUGGAAUUCCCGGUGUAACGGUGGAAUGUGUAGAUAUCGGGAAGAACACCAAUGGCGAAGGCAGGUCUCUGGGCCGUUACUGACGCUGAGGAGCGAAAGCGUGGGGAGCGAACAGGAUUAGAUACCCUGGUAGUCCACGCCGUAAACGGUGGAUGCUGGAUGUGGGGCCCGUUCCACGGGUUCCGUGUCGGAGCUAACGCGUUAAGCAUCCCGCCUGGGGAGUACGGCCGCAAGGCUAAAACUCAAAGAAAUUGACGGGGGCCCGCACAAGCGGCGGAGCAUGCGGAUUAAUUCGAUGCAACGCGAAGAACCUUACCUGGGCUUGACAUGUUCCCGACGGUCGUAGAGAUACGGCUUCCCUUCGGGGCGGGUUCACAGGUGGUGCAUGGUCGUCGUCAGCUCGUGUCGUGAGAUGUUGGGUUAAGUCCCGCAACGAGCGCAACCCUCGCCCCGUGUUGCCAGCGGAUUAUGCCGGGAACUCACGGGGGACCGCCGGGGUUAACUCGGAGGAAGGUGGGGAUGACGUCAGAUCAUCAUGCCCCUUACGUCCAGGGCUUCACGCAUGCUACAAUGGCCGGUACAACGGGAUGCGACGCGGCGACGCGGAGCGGAUCCCUGAAAACCGGUCUCAGUUCGGAUCGCAGUCUGCAACUCGACUGCGUGAAGAUGGAGUCGCUAGUAAUCGCGAAUCAGCAACGUCGCGGUGAAUGCGUUCCCG